GUGUUGGACCCAGAUGACUUUUAAAAUGUAAACAUCAUUGAAAAAGUUCCAAAUUAUCUCCCUUUGGUGGAAAAAUGCCAUUUUUUGGCUUUAAAAUUGAAAUAUCUCUUUUAACUCAUCGGUGACCUAUAUUUUUUAAUAUAAUUUCGAUAUAUGCUGUACUUAAACUAAAUCAUUGUAAAAUUUGAGCGAUUUCUGUAAUAAAUUUCUUUUUUUUAUUUCGAUAUUACCUUUAUUUCUCCUAUUAGUUCAACAGAAAAAAAACACUUUUACAAAGAUGUAUGCUUCUUUCGAAGGCAAAUUGUGAGCGCAAAUGAACGGUGACCCCAUUUUUUUAUUUUAUUUUUCUAUUAACUAUAAGAUAAAGUUCAUUUAUCGAAAAAUAUAGAGAAAUCCUAUAUAAAUGAUUUAGACCCGCGAACCCCCUUAAGAUA
rnacentral:lncRNA from 1 species